rnacentral:rRNA from 1 species
UUUUCCUACGGGGGGCAGCAGUGGGGAAUAUUGCACAAUGGGGGAAACCCUGAUGCAGCAACGCCGCGUGAAGGAAGACGGUUUUCGGAUUGUAAACUUCUGUUCUUAGUGAAGAAAAAUGACGGUAGCUAAGGAGCAAGCCACGGCUAACUACGUGCCAGCAGCCGCGGUAAUACGUAGGGAGCAAGCGUUAUCCGGAUUUAUUGGGUGUAAAGGGUGCGUAGACGGGAAUGCAAGUUAGUUGUGAAAUCCCUCGGCUUAACUGAGGAACUGCAACUAAAACUACAUUUCUUGAGUGCUGGAGA